CUGGGUUGGACAAAAAAAUUGCUCAGGUUUUCCCAUGAGAUGUUCUGGAAAAACCCGAAUGAACUUUUGGGCCAAGCCAA
ensembl:miRNA